rnacentral:rRNA from 1 species
GACGAACCGAGCGAUCGUUGUUCGGAAUCACUGGGCUUAAAGGGCGCGUAGGCGGGCAUCCAAGUCUGUGGUGAAAUCCCGCGGCUCAACCGUGGAACUGCCUUAGAUACUGACGGCCUCGAGGGAGGUAGGGGCGAGCGGAACUGUGAGUGGAGCGGUGAAAUGCGUUGAUAUUCACAGGAACUCCGGUGGCGAAGGCGGCUCACUGGCCCGGUACUGACGCUGAGGUGCGAAAGCGUGGGGAGCAAACAGG